rnacentral:misc_RNA from 1 species
UGGAAGUAAAAGUCGUAACAAGGUUUCCGUAGGUGAACCUGCGGAAGGAUCAUUACAGUAUUCUUUUGCCAGCGCUUAACUGCGCGGCGAAAAACCUUACACACAGUGUCUUUUUGAUACAGAACUCUUGCUUUGGUUUGGCCUAGAGAUAGGUUGGGCCAGAGGUUUAACAAAACACAAUUUAAUUAUUUUUACAGUUAGUCAAAUUUUGAAUUAAUCUUCAAAACUUUCAACAACGGAUCUCUUGGUUCUCGCAUCGAUGAAGAACGCAGCGAAAUGCGAUAAGUAAUAUGAAUUGCAGAUUUUCGUGAAUCAUCGAAUCUUUGAACGCACAUUGCGCCCUCUGGUAUUCCAGAGGGCAUGCCUGUUUGAGCGUCAUUUCUCUCUCAAACCCCCGGGUUUGGUAUUGAGUGAUACUCUUAGUCGGACUAGGCGUUUGCUUGAAAAGUAUUGGCAUGGGUAGUACUAGAUAGUGCUGUCGACCUCUCAAUGUAUUAGGUUUAUCCAACUCGUUGAAUGGUGUGGCGGGAUAUUUCUGGUAUUGUUGGCCCGGCCUUACAACAACCAAACAAGUUUGACCUCAAAUCAGGUAGGAAUACCCGCUGAACUUAAGCAUAUCAAUAA